GACGAACGCUGGCGGCGUGCCUAAUACAUGCAAGUAGAACGCUGAAGAGAGGAGCUUGCUCUUCUUGGAUGAGUUGCGAACGGGUGAGUAACGCGUAGGUAACCUGCCUUGUAGCGGGGGAUAACUAUUGGAAACGAUAGCUAAUACCGCAUAACAAUGGAUGACACAUGUCAUUUAUUUGAAAGGGGCAAUUGCUCCACUACAAGAUGGACCUGCGUUGUAUUAGCUAGUAGGUGAGGUAAUGGCUCACCUAGGCGACGAUACAUAGCCGACCUGAGAGGGUGAUCGGCCACACUGGGACUGAGACACGGCCCAGACUCCUACGGGAGGCAGCAGUAGGGAAUCUUCGGCAAUGGGGGCAACCCUGACCGAGCAACGCCGCGUGAGUGAAGAAGGUUUUCGGAUCGUAAAGCUCUGUUGUAAGUCAAGAACGGGUGUGAGAGUGGAAAGUUCACACUGUGACGGUAGCUUACCAGAAAGGGACGGCUAACUACGUGCCAGCAGCCGCGGUAAUACGUAGGUCCCGAGCGUUGUCCGGAUUUAUUGGGCGUAAAGCGAGCGCAGGCGGUUUGAUAAGUCUGAAGUUAAAGGCUGUGGCUCAACCAUAGUUCGCUUUGGAAACUGUCAAACUUGAGUGCAGAAGGGGAGAGUGGAAUUCCAUGUGUAGCGGUGAAAUGCGUAGAUAUAUGGAGGAACACCGGUGGCGAAAGCGGCUCUCUGGUCUGUAACUGACGCUGAGGCUCGAAAGCGUGGGGAGCGAACAGGAUUAGAUACCCUGGUAGUCCACGCCGUAAACGAUGAGUGCUAGGUGUUGGAUCCUUUCCGGGAUUCAGUGCCGCAGCUAACGCAUUAAGCACUCCGCCUGGGGAGUACGACCGCAAGGUUGAAACUCAAAGGAAUUGACGGGGGCCCGCACAAGCGGUGGAGCAUGUGGUUUAAUUCGAAGCAACGCGAAGAACCUUACCAGGUCUUGACAUCCCGAUGCUAUUUCUAGAGAUAGAAAGUUACUUCGGUACAUCGGUGACAGGUGGUGCAUGGUUGUCGUCAGCUCGUGUCGUGAGAUGUUGGGUUAAGUCCCGCAACGAGCGCAACCCCUAUUGUUAGUUGCCAUCAUUCAGUUGGGCACUCUAGCGAGACUGCCGGUAAUAAACCGGAGGAAGGUGGGGAUGACGUCAAAUCAUCAUGCCCCUUAUGACCUGGGCUACACACGUGCUACAAUGGUUGGUACAACGAGUUGCGAGUCGGUGACGGCGAGCUAAUCUCUUAAAGCCAAUCUCAGUUCGGAUUGUAGGCUGCAACUCGACUACAUGAAGCUGGAAUCGCUAGUAAUCGUAGAUCAGCAUGCUACGGUGAAUACGUUCCCGGGUCU
rnacentral:rRNA from 1 species